rnacentral:lncRNA from 1 species
GGGCUGACUCACCUGCACCCCCUUGACUUUGACCAGGCCUACUGUGCUGUGAUCCCUGCUGCUGCAUAGACCCAGAGACCCAGACAUGGUCCUCAGCAGCAGCUCAGGCUGGGACUUUAUCCGUGGCUCCAGGUGAUGGAGCUGGCCACCCACAACAGGCUUCUCCUUUCCACCCUCGAGUCUCCAGUUCCAUCUCUCUUCAUAAUGCUCAAGCAUAAACCCGUGGUGUUUGGCUGACAGCAGCGAGCAAUGAAGUACUGCAGCUGAGAGUAUCUGGGAAGGUUGAUGCUGAGAUUGCUGGGACCUUGGAGACACAACUCUGCACAGAAUUGACAUUGGGAGCCCCUUAAUGAGUUUCUGCUUCUGAGAAGGGUAGCACCAUUUUUUAUUUUUUAACUGUGAAAGGAAACUGGCCUGAAAAAUAAGUGGAAAUCCACCUCCACCGCCUUGCAGGAGGGGAAGAAAGCUGGGGGAGGCGAGGUCCUUGGGGACCCAAAGGCCCAAGAGUGAGACCAGGGAGCAGCCUGGGGGUCUGCUGCUCCGCCGAGGCCGGGAGGGGGGAAGGGGGCGGAGGGGAUGGGUAGCCAAGUGUCAGCGUCACGUGUCAGCUCUACCCACUCGCCCAGUCGCGAGCGCGGAGAGCUGGCAGGAAGGCACCGAGGCCUGGCGCCUCCGCGGGGCCUGCGUGGAGCUGGCAGGCGGCGCGCUGUGGUGCGCGGGCGGCCUUACCUGGUUUCUGCGAUACCAGGCGCUCGACAGCGAGCCGUUGCCCGGGCCUGGUGCCCAGUAUGUGAAGUUCCGAGACAGCUCGUCUAGGACGGCCGAGGCGUCGUCCUCGGGGGCUGUGCGCGCCGGAGCCGCCAUGAGGACUGAAUCCACGCGCUGGGACUCGGGCGCGGCCCUCCCGUCCGUCCUCCCGCAGCCGCAGCCAC